rnacentral:rRNA from 1 species
AACGGCUCACCAUGGCAAUGAUACGUAGCCGACCUGAGAGGGUAAUCGGCCACAUUGGGACUGAGACACGGCCCAAACUCCUACGGGAGGCAGCAGUAGGGAAUCUUCCACAAUGGACGAAAGUCUGAUGGAGCAACGCCGCGUGAGUGAAGAAGGGUUUCGGCUCGUAAAACUCUGUUGUUAAAGAAGAACAUAUCUGAGAGUAACUGUUCAGGUAUUGACGGUAUUUAACCAGAAAGCCACGGCUAACUACGUGCCAGCAGCCGCGGUAAUACGUAGGUGGCAAGCGUUGUCCGGAUUUAUUGGGCGUAAAGCGAGCGCAGGCGGUUUUUUAAGUCUGAUGUGAAAGCCUUCGGCUCAACCGAAGAAGUGCAUCGGAAACUGGGAAACUUGAGUGCAGAAGAGGACAGUGGAACUCCAUGUGUAGCGGUGAAAUGCGUAGAUAUAUGGAAGAACACCAGUGGCGAAGGCGGCUGUCUGGUCUGUAACUGACGCUGAGGCUCGAAAGUAUGGGUAGCAAACAGGAUUAGAUACCCUGGUAGUCCAUACCGUAAACGAUGAAUGCUAAGUGUUGGAGGGUUUCCGCCCUUCAGUGCUGCAGCUAACGCAUUAAGCAUUCCGCCUGGGGAGUACGGCCGCAAGGCUGAAACUCAAAGGAAUUGACGGGGGCCCGCACAAGCGGUGGAGCAUGUGGUUUAAUUCGAAGCUACGCGAAGAACCUUACCAGGUCUUGACAUACUAUGCAAAUCUAAGAGAUUAGACGUUCCCUUCGGGGACAUGGAUACAGGUGGUGCAUGGUUGUCGUCAGCUCGUGUCGUGAGAUGUUGGGUUAAGUCCCGCAACGAGCGCAACCCUUAUUAUCAGUUGCCAGCAUUAAGUUGGGCACUCUGGUGAGACUGCCGGUGACAAACCGGAGGAAGGUGGGGAUGACGUCAAAUCAUCAUGCCCCUUAUGACCUGGGCUACACACGUGCUACAAUGGAUGGUACAACGAGUUGCGAACUCGCGAGAGUAAGCUAAUCUCUUAAAGCCAUUCUCAGUUCGGAUUGUAGGCUGCAACUCGCCUACAUGAAGUCGGAAUCGCUAGUAAUCGCGGAUCAGCAUGCCGCGGUGAAUACGUUCCCGGGCCUUGUACACACCGCCCGUCACACCAUGAGAGUUUGUAACACCCAAAGUCGGUGGGGUAACCUUUUAGGAACCAGCCGCCUAAGGUGGGACAGAUGAUUAGGGUGAAGUCGUAACAAGGUAGCCGUAGGAGAACCUGCGGCUGGAUCACCUCCUUUCUAAGGAA